rnacentral:rRNA from 1 species
GAUGAACGCUGGCGGCGUGCCUAAUACAUGCAAGUCGAGCGAAUGGAUUAAGAGCUUGCUCUUAUGAAGUUAGCGGCGGACGGGUGAGUAACACGUGGGUAACCUGCCCAUAAGACUAGGAUAACUCCAGGAAACCGGGGCUAAUACCGGAUAACAUUUUGAAACGCAUGGUUCGAAAUUGAAAGGCGGCUUCGGCUGUCACUUAUGGAUGGACCCGCGUCGCAUUAGCUAGUUGGUGAGGUAACGGCUCACCAAGGCAACGAUGCGUAGCCGACCUGAGAGGGUGAUCGGCCACACUGGGACUGAGACACGGCCCAGACUCCUACGGGAGGCAGCAGUAGGGAAUCUUCCGCAAUGGACGAAAGUCUGACGGAGCAACGCCGCGUGAGUGAUGAAGGCUUUCGGGUCGUAAAACUCUGUUGUUAGGGAAGAACAAGUGCUAGUUGAAUAAGCUGGCACCUUGACGGUACCUAACCAGAAAGCCACGGCUAACUACGUGCCAGCCGCCGCGGUAA